GAAGGCAGGCAGGUGGCUGCUUGCGGUUGGUGCCGCAAGAGGAAAGUCCGGGCUGCAGUGAGGCAGGACUCCAGCUAACGGCUGGCCGAAGCGAUUCGAGGGCAAGUGCAACAGAGAGUAGACCGCCGAUGGCGGGUUUUCCCGCACAGGUAAGGGUGAAAGGGUGGGGUAAGAGCCCACCGGUGCCCCCGGUAACGGGGGCAGCCAGGUAAACCCGGUCCGCAGCAAGAAGCACCUGGUACAAGCCUCACAUCUUGUGUGCUUCGCUCGAGCCCGUCGGUGACGGCGGGCCUAGAUAAAUAGUCACCCAACGACAGAACCCGGCUUAUCGCCUGCCUUCUUUU
rnacentral:RNase_P_RNA from 2 species